AUAAAAGUAGAAGUUCUAAUUUGAA
rnacentral:miRNA from 1 species